GAUGAACGCUGGCGGCGUGCCUAAUACAUGCCAGUCGAGCGAACAGACGAGGAGCUUGCUCCUCUGACGUUAGCGGCGGACGGGUGAGUAACACGUGGAUAACCUACCUAUAAGACUGGGAUAACUUCGGGAAACCGGAGCUAAUACCGGAUAAUAUACUGAACCGCAUGGUUCAAUAGUGAAAGACGGUUUUGCUGUCACUUAUAGAUGGAUCCGCGCCGCAUUAGCUAGUUGGUAAGGUAACGGCUUACUAAGGCAACGAUGCGUAGACGACCUGAGAGGGUGAUCGGCCACACUGGAACUGAGACACGGUCCAGACUCCUGCGGGACGCAGCAGUAGGGAAUCUUCCGCAAUGGGCGAAAGCCUGACGGAGCAACGCCGCGUGAGUGAUGAAGGUCUUCGGAUCGUAAAACUCUGUUAUUAGGGAAGAACAAAUGUGUAAGUAAAUAUGCACGUCUUGACGGUACCUAAUCAGAAAGCCACGGCUAACUACGUG
rnacentral:rRNA from 1 species